AUCGGUGAUGGAUGGGGAUGCGUCUGAUUAGCUUGUUGGCGGGGUAACGGCCCACCAAGGCGACGAUCAGUAGGGGUUCUGAGAGGAAGGUCCCCCACAUUGGAACUGAGACACGGUCCAAACUCCUACGGGAGGCAGCAGUGAGGAAUAUUGGUCAAUGGGCGAGAGCCUGAACCAGCCAAGUAGCGUGCAGGAUGACGGCCCUAUGGGUUGUAAACUGCUUUUAUAAGGGAAUAAAGUGAGCCUCGUGAGGCUUUUUGCAUGUACCUUAUGAAUAAGGACCGGCUAAUUCCGUGCCAGCAGCCGCGGUAAUACGGAAGGUUCGGGCGUUAUCCGGAUUUAUUGGGUUUAAAGGGAGCGUAGGCCGGAGAUUAAGCGUGUUGUGAAAUGUAGAUGCUCAACCUCUGCACUGCAGCGCGAACUGGUCUUCUUGAGUACGCACAACGUGGGCGGAAUUCGUGGUGUAGCGGUGAAAUGCUUAGAUAUCACGAAGAACUCCGAUUGCGAAGGCAGCUCACGGGAGCGCAACUGACGCUGAAGCUCGAAAGUGCGGGUAUCGAACAGGAUUAGAUACCUUGGUAGUCCGCCCGGUUAAAGAUGGAUGCCCGCUUUU
rnacentral:rRNA from 1 species